rnacentral:ncRNA from 1 species
CAACAACCGUUGGGGUGCCCCAUGUCAGGGGCUGAGAGGCAUGCACGUGUCAACCCAUCGAACCUGAUCCGGGCAAUACCGGCGGAGGGAACGGUCUAACACGUUAC